CAUCGGGAAUCAUGCGUGGCGUGAUAGCUAUUAAAAAUCAAUAUCAGUGGAAAAAAUUUUCUUUUACAAACGGUUAAAAGCAGUCUCUAUAAAAUGAUGAAAUAGCAUUGCUGAUGCUGAAACCGGUGGCACAGCGGUUCCAACCAAAGACCAUCACGCCACAGUAAAUGUUUCACUAAACCACUAGAAUUUGCCAUAGUUCUGAGAUUUGAGUUGCUGUUGGUAUGCAACGAAACGUGUGCAAUUCAAAAUGGCCGCUCAUGGCUCAGGCUGUAAUGGAAAAUUUUUCCCCUUCAUUGGCAACAGUCGAGUACAUUCAAUCACUGGUUGGCAUGAUAAUUCGUGAAAAACGUGAUAAAAUUAUGCAGCCCAAUGGAACGACAUUGCACAUGUUGAUCUGUUCCAUGUCUGCUGGAUGACAUGGAAGCCGUUCUAAAAAGAGAGCACGAUUGCAGAGAUCCCCGGCACCGAUUGAUCGAUAAUUGGAACGUUUCACGCUAUCGUCUGGGUUUAAGCCAAGCAAUUUGGCAUAGGUGAGAAGGUAUCCCGCAUAAUGUGUCGCUUGAAAAAUUCUAUAGUUUCAUUAUUCUCUAGUGUUAAGGGUGAACAAAAGUUCUUAAACGUUUACAAAUUUGGAAAUUGAUAAUUCGAUGGGUCGAUUUCUCAAAUCAAUGGUAAUUGCGAUCCAUGUAUAGUUUAAAAAAAAAAUCAGUGUCUAACUAGUGAUAUAAUGCAAUCCAUAAAUCAUGAUUACAUGAAAGUUACGCAUGCGCGAUAGUUUAAUUUUUAGUUUGACUCACGAUAGCCGUUAACUGAGCAAAAGCUCUUGCGAAAGCUUUCAACUUUUAUUUUAUUAAUAAUUCGGAAAAGCUUCAACGCUGAUUCAAACGGUUUUCAAUGAAUGGUUUUAAAAUUCGUGACGGAAAAGGUUGGAUAUUUGAUAGAUUUUGAUAAAUUGGAGGAGCGAACAGAGACUAUUAAGGUAAAUUCAGUCAUCAGUUCAGAAUGUGUUCCGCACAUUCUCCGACCGGGUUGGAUCUUUAUUGAUCAUCGAAAUUAUGUGCUGAAAUUCUUUCAAACAGUGAUUUUGAAUACUUGUACUUUGCGUUUUUUAUUUCCAAAUCAAGCUCGUGGAAGUUCUACCUGUAAAGGUCUAAUCGAAACAUCUUUCGUUGGUAGCCAAUGGGGUUCCAUGAUUUCGAAUGUCAUUUACUCUUCCUGCAUUUAUUGCGAGCAUUGGGUACACAUGAACCACUUGGAAGCUGGCUUUUCAGCAGCCCCUUCCGGGUCACGUGCCAUCUUCUUCGAAGAGCUGGCGACACUCCUCCAAUAUGGUUUAUAGUUUUUAAACUUGGCUUUUUGACAUGAAAAGCCACCGAAUGUAGACUCGUCGGCAUUUGUGUGCACGGUGCCCACCCUCGCUUCAAACUGCUCAUCGUUGAUGGUGAAAAUGACUCUAUCGAGUACAAUUCUAGGUGCUACGAAACCCCUAUCUACGACUGAUUCAAAUUGUCCAUGGUUGAAUAAUGCAUCAGCAUCUAUGCGGAGACGACACCAUACCGAAAUUACAUGAAUGUGUCCAACCGUAUAAACACUCUUCGAUAUUUAUAACGAUCGGGUCCUAAUAAUUGUUUGUUUUCUGCCGAUUGCUACGCAACGCAACAACUAUAUUUUCGGAUAUGUUUUAGAAAUUCGUUUUUUGCUCAUACCAAUCACUGAAGUUUCGAAGAAAUUCUAUAGUUUAUCCUAGUUUGAGUCAAAUUGUAUGGAACCGUGAUAUUAUCACUACGGAAUAUUAUUUUUAUUGUAUAUCGAAGAAGUUUCUCUGCAAGUCGUCAUCAUAUGACCAAAGGUCGCAUGAGUGCAAACAAAAGCAAUGAUCAUCACUGUAAAUUCUUUUUAAGUUCUAUUUCUAUUAUUUUUGAGAAAAUGUACUCAACCAAGCACUGAAGUUUCUCAAUAUUUUCUAUUUCCUAUUCGUAUGUGAUUUAUCAUAUAAACAUGAUACCAGCUUGCUGUGAUUUCUUUCAAAUUCUAUUUCAAUUUUUUCAGAAGCGAAGAAGCAAUGCUUUUGAUACGUGAUAUUAUCACUACGGAAUAUUAUUUUUGUGUUUAGAGAUCUAACCACUGCAGCUUCACAAUAUUACAAUAUGCAUUACAAAUUUAUGAAAUUGAAGUCCACAAAAGUCGUCAUCAUAUGACCAAAGGUCGCAUGAGUGCCUAUGAAAAACCGCCAACCACUUCAAUUUCGGAUAUGUUUUAGAAAUUCGUUUUUUGCCUCUUGAAAACAUCUUAGUUCAAGAAAUGUGAACAAUUAUGCAUUAUGCGAAAAUAUAGUUGUUGAAAUUAAUGACAAAGUAUACUGAAAUGAGUAAUGAAACCUAAAUAGUCGUCAUCAUAUGACCAAAGGUCGCAUGAGUGCUUGAGUUUAGAAGUGUAGAUUCUUUCCAAGUUCAAUGUGCUCUCAGUACAGUAUAAUAGUAAUUAGUGAAUUUGCCAAUCUCUUCAAAACUAGGUCGUUUUAGAAUAUUUGAAAUAUUGUCGAAAACCAGUCACUAUAAUUUCGGAUAUGUUUUAGAAAUUCGUUUUUUGCUCAAACCAAUCACUGAAGUUUCGAAGAAAUUCUAUAGUUUAUCCUAGUUUGAGUCAAAUUGUAUGGAACCGUGAUAUUAUCACUACGGAAUAUUAUUUUUAUUGUAUAUCGGAGAAGUUUCUCUGCAAGUCGUCAUCAUAUGACCAAAGGUCGCAUGAGUGCGUACGAAAAAUCUUAUGCAGAAUUGUUUAGCUUAAAAGUCGUCAUCAUAUGACCAAAGGUCGCAUGAGUGCAAGCAAAAGCAAUGAUCAUCACUGUAAGUUCUUUUUAAGUUCUAUUUCUAUUAUUUUUGAGAAAAUGUACUCAACCAAGCACUGAAAUUUCUCAAUAUUUUCUAUUUCCUAUUCGUAUGUGAUUUAUCAUAUGAACACGAUACCAGCUUGCUGUGAUUUCUUUCAAAUUCUAUUUCAAUUUUUUUAGAGGCAAAGAAGCAAUGCUUUUGAUACGUGAUAUUAUCACUACGGAAUAUUAUUUUUGUGUUUAGAGAUCAAACCACUGCAGCUUCACAAUAUUACAAUAUGCAUUACAAAUUUAUGAAAUCUGUGAAAGUCGUCAUCAUAUGACCAAAGGUCGCAUGAGUGUGAAAAAUCAAAGUAUUGCUUGAAAAAUUAAGAACUAUUCAUUAUUCACUUGAGCCACUGCGUGGCAAGAAUUUCUUUCUUAACAACUGAUACAUCGAUGUUCGCAGUCGAGAGUCGUUCUCCAACUAUAUAUUUCAUUUCAAUAUUUCUUAACGCUAGGCCCUACUCGGGCGGUGGCUACGUGACCCUUUUUAGCGCGUCAGCAUAAAACGGUCACCGCUCUGUCGGUGGCAAUGAUCGCGCUUUAUGCUGCGUCGGAGUUUCGAUAUCAUUUAUUUAUUUUAAUGACUAAAGCGGGCCUGUAUCCACCACACGCCCUUUCUUAUUGAAUUAAAAAUUAGUCUCCAGUUCUAAUUUUUAAAUCUAUCAUUGUAAGUACAAUCAAUAAAUCUCCUCAAUGCAAUAGACUUUGUUUCGUUAUAUUUAAUUUGAUCAACAGAAAGCAAUAAAUUUCAAUAUAAUAGAAUAUACUUUGAUUUGCCAAUAAAUUUCUUUAAUUUAAUAGGAUUUUCUUCGUCAUAU